rnacentral:rRNA from 1 species
GACGAACGCUGGCGGCGUGCUUAACACAUGCAAGUCGAACGGAAAGGCCCUGCUUUUGUGGGGUGCUCGAGUGGCGAACGGGUGAGUAACACGCGAGUAACCUGCCCUUGACUUUGGGAUAACUUCAGGAAACUGGGGCUAAUACCGGAUAGGAGCUCCUGCUGCAUGGUGGUGGUUGGAAAGUUUCGGCGGUUGGGGAUGGACUCGCGGCUUAUCAGCUUGUUGGUGGGGUAGUGGCUUACCAAGGCUUUGACGGGUAGCCCGCCUGGGAGGGUGACCGGCCACAUUGGGACUGCGAUACGGCGCAGACUCGUACGGGAGGCAGUAGUGGGGAAUAUUGCACAGUGGGCGGAAGCCUGAUGCAGCAACGCCGCGUGCGGGAUGACGUCCUUCGGGUUGUAAACCGCUUUCGCCUGUGACGAGGCGUGAGUGACGGUAAUGGAUAAAGAAGCACCGGCUAACUACGUG